AGGUUCCACCAAGUGGGUGAGGGGGUGGCGGGAGUGUUGCGGCAAGAGGGGGAGGAGGAGGCGGUGGUGGGGGGAAGUCUUCGCCUUGUGGGGGUGGAGGAGGAGGAGGAGAAGGUGACAUGUUGUUUGCGUGGCCGUUGGCGACCUGGCUUUGCGAUUGUUCUGUGAAACCAGAAUUUAAAAAAAUGUUAAAAGGUGACCCGUGCACAUGUUGCGGGUGUGCGCGUGCGUUUACUUUGGCCUGACGUAACGCUGCAGCUUGCCCACGCGGAACCGACGGCCGCCUUCUUCUCGGCUGUUUUGAAGUUUUCAAACAAGUUGGAGCCGUACUGCGAGACACGCGUUUCAUAUAAUGAACAAUGUUGAUGACAUCAUCGUCGUCAUAAGAAGAAAUACCUUUGCAAUGCGUAUUCCAGUGACCCACAGGUUCAUGGUCCAGGCGUCGUCGCAGCACAAAUACUUAAUGUACUCAGAGUCCUUCUGGAUCUGCGGAUGCUACACACAAACAAACAUUCCUGAAUACAAAGUACCAGAAAUAAAUAGCUCACUAUUUUCCAUUCGUAAACCUGACAUUCACGUGAUACACUUUUUGUACAUCGGUCGUUUGGGGUCGUUUGCCUUACUUUGAGCACAAAGCAAAAGUCACUGGGCGCUUUAUGCUUUGCUCGGAAGUCUUUUCCGUAGUAAACGUUGACGUUGUCGAACUGCACGAAGCACACCAGGUCACGAGACGACUGAGGAGGAGGAAAAAAAAAGACAACAGAUCUAUGUCAUAUAAUCCUUGUGAUAAUAAUCCCUCGCUCGGGAUUAAACAUUUCUUACAAAUGAUUUAUGACUCGAUAGUGAUUAGUGGACAUUUUAGUGAGCUGUCUCGGUCCAGUAUAUAAAAAUCAAUAUGUAGUGGUAGGCGAGUAGAAAAUGGGUGACUGAUUCCCAGGCCUUUGAACCCUGACCUUGGUCUUGCCUUUGGGCACGUAAUAAAUUCCGGAGGCUCUGAGCUGGAAGAGGCGGGGCUUCCACGACUUCUUGCCAUCCUCUUUGAGGUGCAGGACCCCUUCUAAGUCGGGCACCAUAAUGGACGUCCCACAGAAGUUCUCCUGUUUACAGAGAGGGGUUGGGGGGUGGGGGGGGGGGGUGAGAGAGACAACUUUACAUACUGUUCGUGUACAUAGUAUGCUUCAGUUCAAGAAUAUCCUUAUCAUAAUUGACUAUAUCAAAUUAGCGAUAGAUUUUUUCAAAAUUCUUAUUUGGCUGUCUGAUUUUAAAUGGACGAUUAAUCCUUCAUGUUGAAGAUAAAAGGGAACGUGUAUUUUCUGUUGGUGGGCGUCACGGCGGUGAAAUUGGUUUGCACGUCAGGCUCACAGUACAGGGAUGCAGGGUUCGAUUCCGCGUCCGCCCUUCCUGUGUGGAGUUUGCAUGUUCUCCCUGUGCUUGCGUGGGUUUUCUGCGGGUAUUUCAGUUUCCUCCCACAUUCCAAAUACAUGCAUGGCAGGUUUAGGAACACUAAAUUGUCGCUAGGUGUGAUUGUGAGCGCGAAUGGUUGUUCGUCUACGUGUGCCCUGCAAUUGGCUGGCAACCAGUUUAGGGUUUCCCCUGCCUACUGCCCCAAAGACAGCUGGGAUAGGCUCCAGCGUGCCCGCCUCCCCUUAUGAGGAUAAGCGGAAUAGAAAACAGAUGGAUGGAUGUAUUUUGGAUCACUUUAAGUCAUCAAAUUUCAGGUUUAAAAAUAUAUUUUUUUAAUUGUUGUCAAAAUGGGUCAAAUGUGACACCAACAGUACGUCCAAAUUCAAAAAUAAUGACCGAGAGAACAACGUACCUUGAUCAAAAUCUCCUUGUCUUUGUCCUUCAUGUCUUUCAGCACCUUCUUGUCCUUCUUCCACAAGUAGAAUUUCUGCACACAGAAGACACUCAGUGGAAAUACGAUCUGGCCUAUCAAUCAGUCUACUGUAUCCAUGGAUUGAGCUCUACAUUGACGGUACUGACCUGCGGGUUUUUGAAGACUUCAUACUUGUCUGAACUCUCCUGAAAGAGGAUUUGGUUCUCGCUGUCCCUGGUCCAAGCCAGGAGGGGCUCUACAAGGUGUUCGUGAUCCUCAAAGGUCCUCUCUAGCACCACAACAAUAAAUAAAUAAAUAGAAGCAAUGAACUAUAAUUUGGUCUUGAAACCUUAACCCAGGUUGUAAACCAUCAUUUGAAAGGUUGACUCAAAAGUCUCAUUUAAAGUAUUUACCUUUUUGUGAAACCCUGGCAUCUGUUUCAUUUAAAGUGUUCUAGUUUCAAUACAAUUGCACCAUUGUCUGUUCCGAAUGGGCUUGAAGGAAUAUGGGAAGAUGUCCAAAAAGUACAAAGUCUUCCAAUAGGACUAAUUCGACCAUCAAAAGCCGCUUUAGACGCCCUCACACAGACACACCAUGUGCUUAUGUGCACUUGAGCAAUCACAGCUGAGCACCAGAGAAAUGGCCGGCACGGUUGUGGUAUAUAGCCACCUUCCUGAGGCAUUUAGUCGGACGCGAAGCAGGAAGCAGCACGCAACUGUACUUUGAACCGCGGCGGGUGCAGAGCCGACACAUGGCGGGCUUUAAAGGUUAAGCUAGUCGGGUGUUAGGGUCGUGUUGGUGGAGAUUAUUUAAUGUCAUCUGUCUUGAACAAAAGUUGGAGGAAGCCUCCCUCCGUCUUUGUCUUCACUCUAGACAAACAUUCAUGUUGUUUUCCGACCAUGCCAGGCUAACUCACACAAAACGUUGACAUGUAGCAAUGCUACAAUUAGCAUCGCGCGCGUCAGAUCGGCUAAAUUUAACAAUCAUGCGGGCAAGACGGAAAUUCUCGUUUCCUCAUUUUCUUUUGAAUGAGGACAGGACAUCAGCUAAUGUUAAAAAUAAGCGGGAAUGAAUGAUAGCUGGCGCUAGUGCUAUUAAAGGAAAUGUGCAUCUGCUGACCAAGCUGCAGUUCUGGGUUGGUCUCGUAUAGGCUCCAGUCUACGUUGUAGUCGCAGUGCGUCUUCUCGCAGAGGUUGUCCAGCACCUCUCUGACGUUCUGCCUCUCAUCCACCAUCAACGUUUUGGAGCUGCCGUCGUUCAUGCACACCUUCACCACGAGCUAAAGCACACAACAAAGUGUUACUUAGAAAACCAGUCCAUUUUUUUUUCUGAUGACCAUUGAUAAUCAGUGCCUGCUUUACCUUUUUCACUUUUGCUUCUUUGAGCUUCUCCAGAGCCAGCUUGAUUUUGUCUGCCUUAAUCUGAGCUUCAAUCUCCUCCUAUGAAGCCACCAAAGAAGCAAUCACCAAAAUAUGAGACCAUAAUUUGUAACCCAGAGUAGUUUUUUUUUCCCCUAGUCAGAGCUCAGAAUUCCCCUUUUUUAUGAAGAAUGCAUGAGUGGAACAGUUCUUCUACUGGAUCUCAUUAAGUACAAUGUAAACAAGCUACCUUAGAGGUGUGCAGAACAUCAAAUUUGAUGUAAAUAUGGAACAUUGCAGAUCAUAAACUAUGUUCCACUCUGCAUGAGUAUGAUGUGUUCCAGCUGUUUGGCUUUUUUUGUGUGUGUGUGUGGAGAAAAAAAGAAUCAGAAGCUGUUGUGGACUCACCAUCGUAGGUUUGCUAGAUUGCGGGGGUGGAGGCGGUAAAGUGGACGCGGUGGACGAGGGGAAGGCGGUGGACGAGUCGCUGGAGAGCGGAGGGUUUGAGGAGGCGGGGCCGACGCUCGGAGGCGGAAAAGGCUCGGGCUGAGGCUCCUUCAGACCCCCAAUCUCGGCCGCCAGCUUCUCCUCUGUGGCGUUGAGGUCGGCCACCAAGUCGGCCAUCAGAGCAUCCAAGUCGUUGUCCUCCAGCUCAUUCAGAGACGCUGUCAUCAAAUCAAGGCAAAUAUCAGGUGAACUAAUAAAGAACAACAGUGAACACAACAUCACCAUUGAGGUCCGUGAAGCCGAUGGAGAGGUUGACUUCUUGCUCGGCUUCGGGUGGAGAUGAGGGGGGCGGCGCUGAUUCUUGUCCCAAACUCUGCCAGGGAGAGAAAAACAGUCAGUGUGUGUUGUUACAUAUAUGCGCACAGUGCACUGUCAGCUAAUCAGCAACACAUUGGCGAGUGCUCUGAAGCGCGCUAUAAAAAUUGAAGCCAGGCCAAUUUGCUUGUCGAACGAUUAGGUUAUGAUUCUGUUUUUUGUUUUUAGAUCAGAUUUGGUUUUGUUUCACAGUUGACUGUCAUGGUUUUGUUCUGUUUGUGAACUAUAGGUGGCACUAGAGGGAUUCUCCUCCAGCAUCGCACCUGUUGGUCAUCAUGGUGAUAGUUACUGGAAGUGUUUCUGUUCAUAGAUUUUGAUCAGUACUCCCUGGUUCUCCUGCCUCCCUGUUUUUUUGGGGUCCACUACCAUCGCGCAUUACACGACUGACUAAAAGCCUAACUGACAUGCCAACGUUCUCACCAACGACUCAACUCUUAUCUGGAGCUUACAUUUCACCAAACGCCCCCCCGCCCUCUCUGAGCCCCCCUCAUGUACUUCUUGUAUUUAUCACCCCUUCCCAUUUUUGAUGGCGUUCAGUUAGCUAACGGCAGCCUGGAGAAAACACUUGGGGCCUAUAACGCAUUAUUUUUUCAGUUAAUUCACUUAAAAACAAACACAUGCAACUUGUCGAUUCCAAUCUGAUUUGAAAACAUAGAGAAGGGAAAUUCCUAUAUCAGUUGUCAUGGUGAGGGGGCGGGGCUGACCUGCGUC